rnacentral:rRNA from 1 species
UACGUAGGUGGCAAGCGUUGUCCGGAUUUACUGGGUGUAAAGGGUGCGUAGGCGGACUGUCAAGUCAGCGGUAAAAUACGGGGGCUCAACCCCGACGAGCCGUUGAAACUGGCGUGCUAGAGUGGGCGAGAAGUAUGCGGAAUGCGUGGUGUAGCGGUGAAAUGCAUAGAUAUCACGCAGAACUCCGAUUGCGAAGGCAGCAUACCGGCGCCCAACUGACGCUCAUGCACGAAAGCGUGGGGAGCAAA